rnacentral:rRNA from 1 species
ACUCCUACGGGAGGCAGCAGUAGGGAAUCUUCCACAAUGGGCGCAAGCCUGAUGGAGCAACACCGCGUGAGUGAAGAAGGGUUUCGGCUCGUAAAGCUCUGUUGUUAAAGAAGAACACGUAUGAGAGUAACUGUUCAUACGUUGACGGUAGUUUAACCUACGAAAGUACACGGCGUAACUAACGUGCCAGCAGCCGCGGUAAUACGUAGGUGGCAAGCGUUAUCCGGAUUUAUUGGGCGUAAAGAAGAGUGCAGGCGGUUUUCUUAAGUCUGAUGUGAAAGCCUUCGGCUUAACCGGAGAAGUGCAUCGGAAACUGGAUAACUUGAGUGCAGAAGAGGGUAGUGGAACUCCAUGUGUAGCGGUGGAAUGCGUAGAUAUAUGGAAGAACACCAGUGGCGAAGGCGGCUACCUGGUCUGCAACUGACGCUGAGACUCGAAAGACAUGGGUAGCGAACAGGAUUAGAUACCCUGGUAGGAUAGCG